rnacentral:rRNA from 1 species
UGCCAGCCGCCGCGGUAAUACGGAGGGUGCGAGCGUUAAUCGGAAUUACUGGGCGUAAAGAGCAUGUAGGCGGAUGAAUUAGUCAGAGGUGAAAGCCCCGAGCUCAACUUAGGAACUGCCUUCGACACUGCAGAACUAGAGUAUGGUAGAGGGAAGUGGAAUUUCCGGUGUAGCGGUGAAAUGCGUAGAUAUCCGGAGGAACAUCAGUGGCGAAGGCGGCUGCCUGGCUCAAUACUGACACUGAGGUGCGAAAGCGUGGGGAGCAAACAGGAUUAGAUA